rnacentral:rRNA from 1 species
CGGAAGUUAAGCGUGCUUGGGCGAGAGUAGUACUAGGAUGGGUGACCUCCUGGGAAGUCCUCGUGUUGCACCCCUSGN